rnacentral:ncRNA from 1 species
CCCUGUCGCCAGGGGUGCCCCGACCUCCGCUAUCCGAGGAAGGGGCUGAGAGUGCGCUCCCGAGACGUGCCUGGAAAGUCGUCGAGCACAGACGUCUUCGAGGCAUGUCCGAGCGCUGACCCUGGAACCUGAUCCGGCUAAUACCGGCGGAGGAAGCGCGACAUGCUGUAUAU